CGCUUCCCGCUGCGGUCGCGCUUGUCCUGCUCUGGCUGGCGCGCGCCGCGGCCUGAGCCGCGACGUAGCUCGCAUCACUCGAGGAUUUCGCCGAAGGUUUUGCCGACCUGCAUCGGGGCGGUGCGGAUCAGCCGCGAGUCCUCGACUGCGGCUUGACGAUGCUUGACCGCUUCGCGGUAAGCCGGGUCGCGGAUCAUUUCCACGAAUGCGGCGAAGCUCGGAUACUCGGCGAUGAAGCAGUGAU
rnacentral:misc_RNA from 1 species